UACUGCUCAGUAACACGUGGAUAACCUGCCCUAAGGAAGGGGAUAACCUCGGGAAACUGAGGAUAAUACCCUAUAGGAUACCGAUGCUGGAAUGCCCGGUAUCCCAAAGCUCCGGCGCCUUAGGAUGGAUCUGCGGCCGAUUAGGUCGUUGUUGGGGUAACGGCCCAACAAGCCGAUAAUCGGUACGGGUUGUGGGAGCAAGAGCCCGGAGUUGGAUUCUGAGACACGAAUCCAGGCCCUACGGGGCGCAGCAGGCGCGAAAACUUUACAAUGCGGGCAACCGUGAUAAGGGAACCUCGAGUGCCUGUACGUGCAGGCUGUCUGGGUGUCUAAAACACACCCAAAGAAAGGGCCGGGCAAGACCGGUGCCAGCCGCCGCGGUAAUACCGGCGGCUCGAGUGGUGGCCACUUUUAUUGGGCUUAAAGCGUUCGUAGCUGGGUUGUUAAGUCUCUUGGGAAAUCUGGCAGCUUAACUGUCAGGCGUCUAAGAGAUACUGGCAAUCUAGGAACCGGGAGAGGUGAGGGGUACUUCGGGGGUAGGAGUGAAAUCCUGUAAUCCUCGAGGGACCACCUGUGGCGAAGGCGCCUCACCAGAACGGCUUCGACAGUGAGGGACGAAAGCUGGGGGAGCAAACCGGAUUAGAUACCCGGGUAGUCCCAGCCGUAAACGAUGCGCGUUAGGUGUGUCGAUGACCACGAGUCAUCGAGGUGCCGAAGGGAAACCGUGAAACGCGCCGCCUGG
rnacentral:rRNA from 1 species